CCCUUAGAUGUUCUGGGCUGCACACGUGCUACACUGGCAGGUUCAGCGAGCUUCAUGCCCUGAUCUGAAAGGAAUGGGAAAUCUUUUCAAAACCUGCCGUGCUUGGGAUAGAUGUUUGCAAUUAUUCAUCUUCAACGAGGAUUGCCUUGUAAGCGCACGUCAUCAGCGUGCAAUGAAUACGACCCUGUAUUCUGUACACACCGCCCGUCGCUCCUACCGAUUGAAGUUUUCGGUGAGUUGACAGGAGGAUUUUUUUGAAACUGGUUCGCCAGUGGAUUUUAGAUCCAAAUGCCAACGAAUCGAUGGCUUUAGAGGAAGGAGAAGUCGUAACA
rnacentral:rRNA from 1 species